UACGAAGGGGGCUAGCGUUGCUCGGAAUCACUGGGCGUAAAGCGCGCGUAGGCGGGUCUUUAAGUCGGGGGUGAAAUCCUGGAGCUCAACUCCAGAACUGCCUUUGAUACUGAGGAUCUUGAGUUCGGGAGAGGUGAGUGGAACUGCGAGUGUAGAGGUGAAAUUCGUAGAUAUUCGCAAGAACACCAGUGGCGAAGGCGGCUCACUGGCCCGAUACUGACGCUGAGGAGCGAAAGCGUGGGGAGCGAACAGG
rnacentral:rRNA from 1 species